AAAAACGCGUAGUAUGGACGUGUGUGACCGUCGACGCCAUUUGUCGAGGCAUUUAUUGGCUUCCCCCACACUGUCAUGGCGCCCUGGUCUAAAUUCCAUCUCACUGCUCUGCUAUCAAUUAUUCUAAUCGUAAAUCUAAACGACCCGACCUGUCAUUCUUUAGGUUCCCCAAUAAAAAAGAAAGUCAGGUGGACUAUCGAGCAAAGCUCUGGGCGUGCAAUUUUUGUUUCCAAAGGAACCAGUUUUCACCAUCUUACUCGGGCAUUUCCCAAUUGAAUCAACCAGCUGAACUAUUGCCUCAGUUUUCAACUAUUGAAUAUGUUGUUCAGCGAGGUUCAUCUGCCCCUCUCAUCUUCUUGUAUGUGUUGCACACUUGCUUGGAGGAAGAUAAUCUACAGGCCCUCAAAGAAUCCCUGCAGAUGUCCCUGAGUUUGCUCACUCCCAACUCACUGGUUGGUCUGAUUACUUUUGGUCGAAUGGUGCAGGUCCAUGAACUGAACUGUGAGGGGAUUUCCAAAAGUUAUGUCUUCAGAGGCACAAAGGACCUGACAGCAAAACAAAUCCAGGAUAUGCUGGGACUUGCAAAACCACCAGCAGGAGUUCAAGGAAGCGCCCCUCAACCACAAGAGCACCCUGGUUUAUCCAGCAGGUAUUAUAUC